AUGGCAACAGUUGAAGCAAACCUGGCACACAUUAGUCCUCAAUCAUCCCCAAUACAUGCACCAACACCAACAUCCCCCACACAGCUCACACAGGAUAACACAUCCGAAGGACCAAACAUGAGCCAUAAUGUCAAUGAGGGGGGUCAACCCUCCACCGGAGAUGUCCUUCACACCAUUGGCACACAAACUCAGGAGAAGAAGAAUAGGAAGAAGAGAGCUUGUCUUCGGAAAACUGAGGACACAAGGCUGAAGAAAAUCAAGGUUACAAGCUCUUCGAUAGAACUGUACAACAAGUACAUCACCGCCAGAUGUUUAAGGCCUCCCAAAAAAACUGAUAAAAGGCCACCUUUCAUCGAUUACGGUGGGUACCAUAUAUCAUAUGAACACUUCCGUGACGCACUCAAGCCACGCGGAUGG